AUCGACCGUAAUUUAUACCCGCCUUAUAUCCACGCACAACGGUACUAGCUCCUCAAUUCAGAGAGCAGAAGAAGCCUCUAGACUCUAGAGAGUAAAGAGUAGAGUGUAGAGUUUUAUUUUUAUUUUUUUAAUUAAAAAAAAAAGGAAAAGAAAAUGGCAUUACUACUACGAAUACCAUUAAUAGUACCACCACGUCAGUUGGGCAUAAUUCCUUCUCGCAUAACAACACUACGCUUAGCACACCGCAAUAGUAAUACAAUCCCUUCUUCUUCUUCUCUCCACAACAAUCGCUUAUUCGUCUCCGUUUCACCGACCAUGGCUUCCACUGCUCAAAAAGUUCUGGUUCCAGUUGCGAAUGGCACUGAACCUAUGGAGGCGGUGAUUACCAUUGACGUUCUGCGACGAGCUGGAGCUGAUGUUACUGUGGGUUCAGUGGAGAAUCAACCCCGCGUCGAUGCUGCCCACGCUGUCAACAUCCUCGCCGAUGCUUUGGUUUCCGAUUGCGCCAACACAGUCUUCGAUCUCAUCGCUCUGCCCGGGGGCAUGCCAGGUGCUACCAAUCUUAGAGAUUGUGCUGUUCUGGAAAGCUUGGUGAAGAAGCAGGCAGCAGACGGGAGGCUUUAUGCGGCAGUAUGUGCUUCACCUGCAGUGGCGCUUGGGCCAUGGGGUGUGCUGAAGGGCUUGAAAGCAACCUGUUAUCCAUCAUUUAUGGAGCAAUUAGCUCCUACUGCAACUGCUGUUGAAUCAAGAGUGCAAGUGGAUGGCAGAGUUGUAACAAGUCGGGGACCUGGCACUACCAUGGAGUUUGCUGUUGCAUUGGUUGAGCAAUUGUACGGGAAAGAGAAAGCUAAAGAAGUUUCUGUGCCAUUGGUUAUGCGUUCCAACCAUGGGGAUGAAUAUGCCAUAACUGAGCUAAAUCCAGUGGAGUGGACGUUUGAUGAUUGCCCCAAGAUUCUUGUACCUAUUGCUAAUGGCACUGAGGAAAUGGAAGCUGUGAUGAUCAUUGAUAUUCUUCGACGAGCGAAAGCAAAUGUUGUGGUGGCCUCUGUUGAGGAUAAACUAGAAAUUCUUGCUUCUCGUAAUGUAAAACUAGUGGCAGAUGUGCUCCUUGAUGAGGCUGCUAAUCUUUCAUAUGAUCUAAUAGUCUUGCCAGGUGGACUUGGUGGUGCUCAAGCAUUUGCAAACUCUGAAAAACUGACGAACCUGCUAAAGCAGCAGAGGGAAUCAAAUAGACCUUAUGGAGCAAUAUGUGCCUCCCCAGCUUUAGUCCUGGAGCCCCUUGGCUUACUCAAGGGUAAAAAGGCUACAGCUUUUCCUGCAUUGUGCAACAAGCUGUCAGAUCAGAGUGAAGUUGAAAACAGGGUUGUGGUUGAUGGCAAUCUCAUCACGAGCCGAGGUCCAGGAACUGCCAUGGAAUUUGCACUUGGAAUUGUGGAGAAGCUAUUUGGGCGCGAGAAAGCACUAGAGCUUGCAAGAGCAAUGCUUUUCAUUCGCCCAUAGACCUUGUGCAAGUGUAUGUUGUCUGUACUUGUAUUAACGUCUGCAGAGACAAAAUAUGGUGGGAUUUAAUUGAUGCUUCUUUAACUAAUGAUGCCUAAGUAAGGACACCGGUUAACAAAAGCUUGCUUUGGUUAUGUUUCCAUAACAGCAUCCCAGUUAAGAAAGUCCUUGAAUAGAGGGGUAUUAUUCUUGAUGCUUGCUGCCCCUUAUGUAGAAAUCAUGAGGAAUCUAUCUUACACACUCUAAGGGACUGCCCGAUUGCUAUGAAUUUUUGGCAAAAGUUUUGAACUCCCCAAAGCAUGUCCAAUUUCAUGCAUCUGAGCUUAACAGAUUGGUUAAGCACAAACUGUUUGGACAGCAAGCUGAACCGAAUCAAUGGAAUUCCUUGGUCCAUUAUUUUUCC